rnacentral:tRNA from 1 species
GGUAAAAUGGCUGAGCUUAGGCAAUAAAUUGUAAAUUUAUCUACGAAAGGGAUUUCUUUUACC